CGAAGAGAACUUUUUAUAAAAUAAAAAAGCUAAAAAAAAUGUGAAAAUAAAAAAAAUAACAAUUAAAUAGAUGUAAGAGACCGUCACAAAGCCUGCUUUUGUCGCAAAGCCUGUGGAGUGACAAACGUAGGGAAUCAAGUGGAAACGAGCUUUAUGUUGGCUUUCAAGGAAGAGUCCGUCUAUUGGUCCGUAGGUCUCUUGGCUCUCUUGGACUAUGAAAAAGAUUAGUUUGCACAGAAUGAAACCCAAUGAUUGAGGAAUCAUAGACAAUCCAUUAUUAUUCUAAAUUGAUUCCUAUCUUUAUGUCCCUAUGUAUAUAUGUAUGGAUGUAGUAAUCGUUUGGCUCAACAAGAUUAAACGAGCUGGAUAUAAUUUUUCUUCCGAUCUUAUUUUCUGCAUUUGGGUUGAUGUGAAUUGAUAAGGUGUGAACUAUUUUCGUAACCUCCAUUUCACCAACGUUGGUAUAGUAUUCUAGUGCAUCUUAAGUUUUCCUAUGAUGUUAAACAUAAGAUAGAUGUAAUUUACAUAUAUUUAAAUUUCCUUUGUCUUGCAUAAAAUUUUAAUAUUUUACUUUUCCUUUAGGAAAACUAAAUAAAAAUUUUAUGUGUGAA